AUGGAUCUAGUGGGAAUUCUUUUUAUCGCAAGAUCCAAUCUUGUAUCAAUCAAAAAAUCUGUACCUUGUUAAUUCUACUUGAAUUAAACGAUAGAUCCAAUAUCAUUGUGAGCGCUGGUGGCUUAGCAUUUUCGCGUCCGGUGACGAAACUGGAGGUUCCUUCGGGAUGCAACCCUCGGGUUCCUUUAAUUCGGUAUUUUUUGGGAAGCAACCGCCAACUUAAAAUGAAACCGCCAAUCGCUAAGAUGAGGAGUAGAUCCAUAAUUAUUUUGAAAACGCCGAAAUUUUGAAACGUAAUAAAUAUAAGAGCCUCGGUAGAGAGUACCAUUUUGUAUCAUUUGGCGUUGAAACUCUAGGUCCAUGGGGUCCCAGCGCGCACAAGUUUUUUUUGGAGAAAUUGCGAAACGUCUGGUUGACGUAACUGGUGACCGAAGAGCUGGCAGCUUCCUCGCACAACGUAUCAGUCUUGCGAUACAACGAGGAAAUGACGCCAGCAUCCUUGGUACAAUGCCUCAAGGGCCUAUUUUAGAUAUAAGCUAGUUAUAGUAAUCAUCUGUAUAUAGCAAUAUGUAUAUACUAAUUGUAAAUAAAUAAUAAAUUAUUAUUUUUAAUACGAAUAAAUAAUAGUUUAUGUUUUUAUACUACGUUGGUGCAAUCAAGCAUAUGUCCCGUUAACUUAAUAAUCUCGUUGAGCUCUGGCAACCUUACUCACCGGCAGGAACACAACACUAUGAGUAGGUUCUAGUUAUUUGUGUGCGGUUUUCUGUAAGUUGGAGGCACUUUCCCAGUUGGGCUCUGUUCUAGAUCUGGAAUGACAUCCCUACCCUACCACACAAAGCGAGAUGACAUUCACAGUGCCCUUACCUCUCUUUUCUUUCCUCCAUACCCGGUCCAAAAUCUGAAAGUUUGUUGAUUGUAUCUACAUAAAAGAGAACAUGCACUUUUGUAUGAAAAAUGUCUGUCUCCUUUACAGGUCGUAAUUCUCAACUGGUUCUCGUGAAGUUUUAAGCUUGUCACAAAGGCUGUCUACAGCAGCUCACAGAACCACUAGUUGUAAAAUUAUUUUAGCCGAGCUAAAUUCCAGCUGCAAAGAUACAUUUUACUAGAUUGCUUGUUGUAACGCAUUUCUAGGUCCUUUAGCUAAAGUAGCUAUUUAUAAAAAGAUGCGUAUAUGUAGUUCUUUACUUGGACAAUAUUUUUAUUUAUUUAUUUUAAAAUUUGAUUAAGGCUAAAGGCCCAUAUUAUAAAUACCUUAUAGACUUACAUACAUAUGGGACAUGGAAAAUGGGCAGUGUCCCAUGGAUGUAUACUGUUGAAACAUAUGUCGAUUAUAAGCUAUUAAUCUUAGUUUUAUUUUAAUGUAUGGCACUAACCUUAGACAACUUGCAGGGACAGAGCUAUACAAAAAAAAGAAGUCGCGCAUAUAAGCAGUUAUAUUUCCUUAAACGCGAGAUAUAAUAAGUUGUAACGUAUUUUAUUAGAAAGAAUAUAAAAUAUACUUUAUUCUUCUUGUAUCAACACCAAUGGUAAAGUAUUUAAAGAGACACAAUUUACAGUUAAACAAAAAACGAUAUUCUAAAAAUUAUUAUACAAAUGCCAUGUAUAUCACGUGAAAAGUAUUUGUAUAAGCUAUUUAUCGUAUAAUAUAGCUGAUAUCAAACGGUUGCAGGAAUCGAAAUAAAAACAUUAAAUGAGUUAAUUAAUUGUAGUUAAUUACGCUUUAACUUUUCUACUCAACGCUAGAUGUCGCUCUAGAGCAAAAUUCUACUUGACGUAAAACAUUUAUAAAUUGCGCUAAUCUCGUCAGUCUUACUCCAUCAUUUUAAAAAGUAUAGACAGAUGACCAUUGUUUAUGGAUUUCUAAAGUAAUGUCAAGAUGACUCUUAAUGUAACAUUGUCAACAUUAAUUGUCAAAACACGCAAUUUAAAAUAUUCAACAUGGUAAUUACAAAAUAGCGUAUUUGUAAUGCGUUAGAAUUGUGUCCAAUCGAAAGACUCUCCAUUCCAUUGAUCUCAGCGAGUAUGCUCUUGAUGACCUUCACUAUUCAUUGGGUAGGUCAGAAAAAUCUAUUAUUUUUUCUCGUAUAGCUGCUAUAGCGUUCGACUCCAUGGAAAAUAAAGGCUCCAAAUUAAAUUAAAAAUGUAGCAUAUAUACAAAGUGUAAUUUAGAUAGUAUUCCAGAAAAAAUGCGCCAAUGUAAAUGCUUAGGUACCUAUAUCGUAUUGUCGAACAAAUUCCUAUCUACUUCUGAUCUACGCGACCUUGAAGUGGACUGUCCUACCUAACCAUUUUUCUAAAUUAUUACAAUUUAUUUAUAUUUUAAUGUACUCGGGUAAUGUUGCAGUUGCACCAGCACCAAAUAUAUGCUGUGAACCAGGUAUCCAAGUGUUUUCAAGUGACGGUUAACGUUUCCAAAGCAAUUUUUCAGCAGUUUUUAAGUUGUUCUUAGGACACUGAGGCUAUUGAAGGUUUGGACCUUCAAGAAAACACUCCAACUUGGACUGGCGGCAUCAAAAUGGAGUACGUACUGUUUCAAAGAACUGGGUGUAAGUAAGUACAUUUGAUGAAGUGGAACUGCUGAUGUUGAGUAAGUUCUUAGGGUACAUUUGUGUCAAAGUCCUGUUCUGAUGACUGAUUUCAUGAAGAGUCGAAGGAAUUCCUAAAUUCUUAUAGAUAUAGCUGAGUCAUUUUUGGAUUUUCAUCAACUCACAAACAUUUUUAUUAAAAUAAAGUGACAUUUGACGAAGUGCAACUGCUGAUGUUGAUCAGAAUGAGAUUUGCCAACUCACGCCCGUUUUGGUUUAUUUAUUAAUUUUGUAGCAAGUAAAGUUCUUAAGAGACAUUUGUGUCAUAAGGUAGAGUUCCAUGAGGUGGAUGAGUUCCAUGAGAAAUCGAAAGAAUUCCUCAAAUCUUAUAGGCAUAUAAUACUUUGACUACAUUGGAACUUUUCUACGCACGCGAUUCUUCUUUGUUAAGUUUGUAGCAAUUAAGUUCUUAAGAAACAUUUAUGUCAAGGUCCAGUUCUAAUGAUGGAUACUAUGAGGAAUCGAGGGAACACCGGAGCACCUCAAAUAUUAUAGGAAUACGUAUAGUAAUUUUACAUAUAGUUAUUUAGGUAAGUUUCGAUUCGAUCUUCCCGUCUAGACUGGCCUUAAGGUAUAAUGAUUGUCUAUGACUUGGGUAUAAGAAAAAAAUUGACAUUUGUCAUAUUCGAUUCGAUGUCAUUUACAAAAAGCAAUUUUAUUCAAAUUAAAUAUCUAGAAUCUAUUUACAAUAACUGUAAAUUAUAUUUAAAAAACAUAUAAGUAGAGCUAAGUUUCCCGUUAUAUAAAUUUAGGUAGUGUUGCGGCUUCGAAUCCAUACACAAGAUAUAUAUGAAUGCGACGUUUGUACUUGAAAAAAAUGUUAUAGUCCAGAUAUAUGGUUGUGGUGCAGGCAGGCACUGCAUGUUACUCCAGAAGUUAUAUGUAAGCGACUACAGACAACAGCGGCGGGCUGCUCUAAGCAGGAGAUCGAUGUGCUUCACCACCAAUAGUGUAUCCAGAGGGUUGCGUUUUAAGGUCAGUAACCUGUAAUCGCUGUAUGUCUCCGCUUUGCCCUAGGAACGUAGCUCUACAUUACAAGUAGAUUAAGACACUCAGAAUGAUGGUUUGGUGAUUUGGGAUCCGUAGUCAAAGUGGCAAAAAUGGAAACCUAUUCUUUUGGCGUUAUAUGCGUAAAUUUUAAUGGUUUAUGUGUGUGUGUGUGUGUCUGUGUGUAAUUUUAUAUUGCUGUUACCUGCAUAGAGAUAGGUUGCUUUAUUUAAAACACUUAUACCUAUUUCCCUACUAAUAUUUUAAAUGGUAUGUCUAUGUGUCUGUCUGUCUGUCUGCCCGUCCGUCUGUCCAUCCGUCCGUCCGUCAGUCCGUCCGUCAGUUCGUCUGUCCGUCUGUCCAUCCAUCCGUCCGUCCAUGUGUCUGUAUGUUAUUCCGUCUGUCUAUCUGCCCGUCCGUCCAUCCGUCCGUUUGUCCGUUAGUUUUUCAAGCUUAAAUCACUGAACCGAUUUAGCUAAAACAUGUUGCGGAAAUGCUUUGAGUCCCAGGCAAGGACAAAGUAAUUUUUUGUAUCAUCGAACUUGUCCCUGAAGGUUCGAUUAUACCUGUAUAUAGGUACCUGCCACUUUACUUAUCUAUUUAUAGUAUUAGAAUAUUUUAUAUAAAAUGUAAGAACAUAUAUAUAGUUGAUACAAUGACCAUGACAAGUUUUAUUUUGACCUCACGAUUUCUGCCAUACUAUUCUGAUUAGUUAAAUAUCAUGUAGCGUGGACAGAGCCUCACAAUUUGGAAGAAUACUAACUUUCAAGUACAUGGAGGCUUAACGUGAUCACGGAUUUGUUGACUAUAAUCAGUAUUGAUUCCACACAGUCCUCACUGCAUCACGAAUACUUUAGAUUAAAACUGAGACUAGGACGACAGUCCUAGCCUAUUGGUUAUGAUUCGGUUUGAGAAGUUAGUGGACCUGGGUUCGAGCCCCGGUGAGAGCACUUUAUUGAUUGGUUGGCUUAUUGGUAUUGAUUGAUUGAUUGUUUUACUUGUUGUACUUCAGUGGGAUCCGGGUUCGAAUCCUGGUAAUUGUCUGAUUAGUGCUACCGAAUAGUUUUUGGUACAAUGCAAUAAAAUAGGGUAAAGGAACUUAUUAGCUUGAUUUUUUACCUAUGAUUAUUAUUGUGAUGUGAACUAAUCAAGCGGCUCCAGGUUCGAAUCCUGGUAAGAAAAGGUGCUCGAUCCAUUGUUGCAUCAACAGAGCCUGCGCUGCCUUGUACUAUAUAAAAAAGAGUAACAAAAUUAAGACUAAGGUUCGGUAUUCAAUUAAAUUAAAUUGAAUCAUUUUUGUUUCGACCAACUUAUUGGAUCAUAAAUUAUAACAAUCGAUACUAAUAUUAUAUAUAUAAUAUUAGCCUAUUGGUGGUGACUUCGACUGAGAAAAUUUGUCCUGGGUUCGAGGCCCAGUGAAGAAACUUAAGUGGUUGUUGCAUUUACUUGGUUUACCGGCGUUGCCGUUUUACCCGCGUUGCCUAUUACAGACAUGCAUUGCGUAAAUUUGGACUAGGCCGAUGGGUUCAGUUUGUUGAUAUUGUAUUUGUAUAAGAAGUAACGGGUUCGAAUCCUGGAACUUAUUUGAUUAGUACUACCUAAUGGCUCCCCAAGUGCACUGCAAUAUUUAUUAGAUUUUGUUUAGUUUUAUAUUAAUUAUGAUUUCUAAAACAAUUCUUUGAAAUUCUGAUAUUUUUGUGAUUUUUCCUUACAAGGUACUUCUACUCGUAUUUCCAUGUAAACAUGUGUCUUUUUUGACUCUUGUGUAACACAGUUUAUUGAAAAAUAUAUGUUUUUGAUUGUACUUAAUACGAAUAAAGUAAGCGGCUCCAGGUUAGAACCCUGCUAAGAAAACGCAUUUGAUUGUUUUUAACAAAUAACUUAGAAAUAUUUUUUCCAUUUCACAAUAAAUAGAGAUAACCAAGUUAUGGACAGUUCUAAAGUAAAAUCAAUUUAUUAUUCACAAUUACUUAAAACUUUCCCUUAAUGUGUUUAAAUGUUUUUCUUUUCAUUGGCGAGACGAAGUUUACUACCUCCAGCUCCGUUGCUAGCCAAAUAUCAUUGAAGCGGCGGCGGCGUCACCGGCGUCGUUACCGAAUCGAGAAAUGCCUAGCGCAAGAACGAACACGAACCAUGCCACGCUCACGCCAACACAUACGGUAGAUACACGUAAAAUACAAGCAUUUUCAUGCGUGACUACUGCAAAGAACGUCCUUCGUAGAAGUUCGCACUGCUGAAUGAAGAUAAAAUAUCGUUUAAUAAACUAUAAACUGUACAUAAGAAAAUAAAAUACAGAACAGAG